rnacentral:tRNA from 1 species
GGUGCGCCCGGCGGGGGCGGCGUCGACGGCCCUCUGGAUCGUGGCGUACGGCGACGACUUCGAGCCGGAUCCGCCGUUCGAGCCGGUCGGCGCGACG